GGAAAUCAAACGUCAAUCUUUUCAGCUUCUUUGACGUAGAAUAGACGUCGAAUCCCCUGAAACACCGACAUCUAUAGACGUCGGUUUCUGGAGCAACCGACGCCCCAUUUCAUUUUAAAUAGACUGCAUACUCUUAUCGCCAUUCAAUUUCUGAUUGUGUCUUCAUCUCUUCUCCUUUUUCUCUGCUUCUCCUCUUCUUUUACU
rnacentral:lncRNA from 1 species